rnacentral:lncRNA from 1 species
GACGUAUGUCGAUCGAUGAUGGACGUUUGUCGUCGAUCGAUUGGUGGUUGGCUCUAUCGAUCGAUUCUUAUAUUUCUCUGUCGAGCGUUACACGUAUGUCUGCUUCAUUUAUUCGACUGAAACGAGUUCCUUUCCCACAGGCUUCUGCUCGGUGUUGAUCUGCUUCAUCACGUCUUUGCAUGUUGAGAAGUUCCUCAUAUGUGAAACCUUCAUGAAGUUCAUCUGCUCCUGGCUCAUGUACUGUUGUUUCUACUGCAUAACUUUCGUGAUGGUGAUCAUCUGCCCAACUGCCAAUCGAGUAGU